rnacentral:rRNA from 1 species
UAAGGAAUAUUGGUCAAUGGACGCAAGUCUGAACCAGCCAUGCCGCGUGGAGGAUGAAGGUCCUCUGGAUUGUAAACUUCUUUUAUCUGGGACGAAACACUUCUUUUCUAAGAGGCCUGACGGUACCAGAUGAAUAAGCACCGGCUAACUCCGUGCCAGCAGCCGCGGUAAUACGGAGGGUGCAAGCGUUAUCCGGAUUCACUGGGUUUAAAGGGUGCGUAGGUGGGUAUGUAAGUCAGUGGUGAAAUCCCCGAGCUUAACUUGGGAACUGCCAUUGAUACUAUAUAUCUUGAAUACCGUAGAGGUCAGCGGAAUAUGUCAUGUAGCGGUGAAAUGCUUAGAUAUGACAUAGAACACCAAUUGCGAAGGCAGCUUACUACAUAUAAAUUGACGCUGAGGCACGAAAGCGUGGGGAUCAAACA